GUCUUGAUCACGUUGAGGGAGAGGUUGUUGUCCUACCACCACACGGCCAGGUCUCAGACCUCCUCCCUAUAGGCUGUCUCGUUGUUGUCGGUGAUCAGGCCUACCACUGUUGUGUCAUCGGCAAACUUAAUGAUGGUGUUGGAGUCAAGCCUGGCCAUGCAGUCAUGAGUGAACAGGGAGUACAAGAGGGGACUGAGUACGCACCCAUGAGGGGCCCUUGUGUUGAGGAUCAGCAUGGCAAAUGUGUUGUUACCUACCCUUACCACCUGGGGGCAGGUCCGUCAGGAAGUCCAGGAUCCAGUUGCAGAGGGAGGUGUUUAGUCCCAGGAUCCUUAGCUUAUUGAUGAGGGCACAAUGGUGUUGAACGCUGAGCUGUAGUCAAUGAAUAGCAUUCUCACAUAGGUGUUCCUUUUGUCCAGGUGGGAAAGGGCAGUGUGGAGUGCAAUAGAGAUUGCAUCAUCUGUGGAUCUGUUGGCGGUAUUCAAAUUGGAGUGGCUCGAGGGUUUCUGGGAUAAUGGUGUUGAAGUGAUAAUGGUGUUGCCUUUAAAAGCACUUCAUGGCUACAGACAUUUAGGCAGAUUACCUUAGUGUUCUUGGGCACAGGGACUAUGGUGGUCUGCUUAAAACAUGUUGGUAUUACAGACUCGGACAGGGAGAGGUUGAAAAUGUCAGUGAAGACACUUGCCGGUCAGCGCAUGCUCGCAGUACACGUCUUGACAAUCCAUCUGGCCCUGCGGCCUUGUGAAAGUUGACCUGUUUAAAGAUUUUACUCAGAUCAGCUACGGAGAGCGUGAUCACACAGUCGUCUGGAACAGCUGGUGCUCUCAUGCAUGUUAUUUUUUUCCACCUUUAUUUAACCAGGUAGGCUAGUUGAGAACAAGUUCUCAUUUACAACUGCGACCUGGCCAAGAUAAAGCAAAGCAGUGCGACAAAAACAACAACACAGAGUUGCACAUAAACAAACAUACAGUCAAUAACACAAUAGAAAAAUCUAUGUACAGUGUGUGCAAAUGUAGAAGAGUAGGGAGGUAAGGCAAUAAAUAGGCCAUAGAGGCAAAAUAAAAACAAUUUAGCAUUAAUACUGGAGUGAUAGAUGUGCAGAUGAUGAUGUGCAAGUAGAUACUGGGGUGCAAAAGAGCAAGAGGAUAAAUAACAAUAUAGGGGUAGUUGGGUGUGCUAUUUACAGAUUGGCUGUGUACAGGUACAGUGAUCGGCAAGCUGCUCUGACAGGUGUUGCUUAAAGUUAGAGAGGGAGUUGUAAGACUCCAGCUUCAGUGAUUUUUGAAAUUCGCUCUAGUCAUUGGCAGCAGAGAACUGGAAGGAAAGGCGGCCAAAGGAGGAAUAGGCUUUGGGGAUGACCAGUGAAAUAUACCUGCUGGAGUGCUACGGGUGGGUGUGGCUAUGGUGACCAGUGGCUGAGAUAAGGUGGAGCUUUACCUAGCAUAGACUUAUAGAUGACCUGGAGCCAGUGGGUUUGGCGACAAAUAUGUAGUGAGGGCCAGCCAACGAGAGCAUACAGGUCGCAGUGGUGGGUGGUGAAUGGGGAUUUGGUGACCAAACAGAUGGCACUGUGAUAGACUGCAUCCAGUUUGCUGAGUAGAGUUUUGGAGGCUAUUUUAUAAAUGACUUGACCGGAGUCAAUGAUCGGCAGGAUAGUCAGUUUUACGAGGGUAUGUUCGGCAGCAUGAGAUAAGGAGGCUUCGUUGCGAAAUAGGAAGCCGAUUCUAGAUUUCAUUUUGGAUUGGAGAUUCUUAAUGUGAGUCUGGAAGGAGAGUUUACAGUCUAACCAGACACCUAGGUAUGUGUAGUUGUCCACAUAUUCUAAGUCAGAACCAUCCGGAGUAGUGAUGCUAGUCGGGCGGGAGGGUGCGAGCAGCAAUCGGUUGAAGAGCAUGCACUUAGUUUUACUUGCAUUUAAAAGCAGUUGGAGGCCUUGGAAGGAGUGUUGUAUGGCAUUGAAGCUCGUUUGGAGGUUUGUUAGCACAGUGUCCAAAGAAGGGCCAGAUGUAUACAGAAUGGUGUCGUCUCACCAGCAGCAAGAGCGACAUCAUUGAUAUAUACAGAAAAAAAGAGUCGACCCAAGAACUGAACCCUGUGGCACCCCCGUAGGGACUGCCAGAGGUCCGGACAACAGGCCCUCCGAUUUGACACACUGAACUCUAUCUGAGAAGUAGUUGGUGAACCAGGCGAGGCAGUCAUUUGAGAAACCAAGGCUAUUGAGUCUGCCGAUAAGAAUGCGGUGAUUGACAGAAUCGAAAGCCUUGGCCAGGUCGAUGAAGACGGCUGCACUGUACUGUCUUUUAUCGUUGGUGAUAAUGAUAUCAUUUAGGACCUUGAGCGUGGCUGAGGUGCACCCUUGACCAGCUCGGAAACCAGAUUGCAUAGUGGAGAAGGUACGGUGAUCUGUUUGUUAACCUGGCUUUCGAAUAUUUUAGAAUGAUUUUAUUUGUCUCGAAGAGAGCGUAGAAGUAGUUUAGCUCAUCUGGUAGGCUCGUGUCACUGGGCAGCUCUUGGCUGUGCUUCUCUUUGUAGUCUGUAAUGGAUUGCAAGCCCUGCCACAUCCGACAAGUGUCAGAGCCGGUGUAGUACGGUUCGAUCUUAGUCCUGUAUUUACACUUUGCCUGUUUGAUGGUUCGUCAGGGAUUUUGGAAUUUCUUAUAAGCUUCAGGAUUAGAGUCCUGCUACUUGAAAGUGGCAGCUAUAGCCUUUAGCUCAGUGUGGAUGUUGCCUGUAAUCCAUGGCUUCUGGUUGGGGUAUGUAUGUAUGGUCACUGUCUCUACGCUGUGCUGACGUCUUUACGCUGUAGGACGCUGACGUCUCCACGCUGUAGGACACUGACGUCUCCACGCUGUAGGACGCUGACGUCUCCACGCUGUAGGACGCUGACGUCUCCACGCUGUAGGACGCUGACAGCAAUGAGCAUCUCAGGGAGAGAUGGCAGCGCUCCUUAACACCUUUGGACUCCACACUGUGGUGUUCACACUACACAAAGUUUCAUUUGAAUAUUUAUUGGUGGCUAUUCAAGUUUUUUAUUGAACUAUUUAUCAAAUGGACAGAGGCGGCUGAUCUUCCAGCCCAGGGAAGGUAAAGGUGAAAUUCCUCUGACGUCCGGGAGUCACUGUACCACUAAUGGAGGGCCACAGAUUCUUUCACAGGCAAGAUUCAGAAAGCUGUUCCUACUGUGUUGUCUGUACAGCAGGUGGCAACAUGGAGGCACAAGUAGAUUCCAACUGAAACAUGACAUCACAGGCUGGGCUAAACAAUUCCAGGGUUAGGAUUAGAAAGACAUGAUUAGACCUCAGAAGCAGUUGGACUCUUUGACUGUAUGAUAUGGGAGCACAAUAGGGUUAUAUACUGUACUAACUUACAAGGUUGAAACAUACUGUCUAGUCAUUACAACAAAAGUUCCGUUUGAGGAAUUACAGAAUGCAGACAGAUUAAAACAAGACUGAAAAACAGAAACCAAAGAACCUUUAUUAAAUAGUAAUGUGAGGUUUCAGUUGGAUUUUCUUCAUUCCAAAAAACUAUACCAGGGUUUUAGUUUUAGUGUGAAUCAAGGCUCCCUGCAUAGUAGGAUGGGGGGGGGGCAGGUGUUCCCCAAAACAGAACCAGAGAGAGGGUGAAUUCGUUUUAACUCGCCCAGUGCUCCGGGACACUUUAGGACCAAUGGAAUGGUCUAAAAAAUGUGCCCGGGCCAGUUAUUGACCACUGUGUGAUGUUACAGAGUCCUGCUUGUAUUGACCACUGUGUGUAGUUAAAAGUCUUGCUUGUACCAUCUCAGGUAGCCCGGUCCAGAUCUGGUCGUACCGUCUCAGGUAGCCCGGUCCAGAUCUGGUCGUACCGUCUCAGGUAGCCCGGUCCAGAUCUGGUCGUACCGUCUCAGGUAGCCCGGUCCAGAUCUGGUCGUACCGUCUCAGGUAGCCCGGUCCAGAUCUGGUCGUACCGUCUCAGGUAGCCCGGUCCAGAUCUGGUCGUACCGUCUCAGGUAGCCCGGUCCAGAUCUGGUCGUACCGUCUCAGGUAGCCCGGUCCAGAUCUGGUCGUACCGUCUCAGGUAGCCCGGUCCAGAUCUGGUCUGAAUGUCAAGCUAAACCAAGUGAAACAAGGUGGGGGAAAAAGGUUUGUUUGUAGAGUAAGGAGACAGUACUGUAAGUGGUUACACAUCAGCAACAUGUUGUAGUAUUAGCCAGCAGAAACAGCAGACAGCAGUCACUUUGGGAAGUAUAGACCUUACUCCAGAUCAGCUCAUAGAAGACUGUUCCUGUGCUCCUCCAUGCUGCAGAUCAGGCAUGUUGUGAAGAUCAUUCAAACCUGUUAUAUGUAUCAAUGUCUAAUAGAAAGUACCUCUCGACUCUUUCCAGAUUUGGUUGUUUUACAAAGUGGGAUUCAAAUGGAUUUAAUUGUCAUUUUUUUGUCAAUGAUCUACACAAAAUACUAAUAUAUUGUGAUUAGAUAAGUAUUCAACCCCCUGAGUCAAUACAUGUUAGAAUCACCUUUGGCAACGAUUACACCUGUGUCUUUCUGGGUAAAUCUCUAAGAGCUUUUUAAUUCUUCAAGCUCUGUCAAGUUGGUUGUUGAUCAUUGCUAGACUGCCAUUUUAAGGUCUUGCCAUAGAUUUUCAAGUAGUUUUAAGUAAAAACUGUAACUAGGCCACACCGGAACAUUCAAUGUCAUCUUGGUAAGCACUCAAAUGUAUACUGAACAAAAAUAGAUAAGUGUUGAACCCAUGUUUAAUGAGCUGAAAUAAAAGAUCCCAGAAAUGUUUCAUACACACAAAAAGCUUAUUUCACUCAAAUGUUGUGCACUAAUUUGUUGACAUCCAUUAGUGAGCAUUUAUCCUUUGCCAAGAUAAUCCAUCCACCUGACAGGUGUGGCAAAUCAAGAAGCUGAUUAAACAGCAUGACCAUUACACAGGUACCCCUUGUGCUGGGGACAAUAAAAGGCCACACAAAUGUGCAGUUUUGUCACACAGCACAAUGCCAAGAAGUCUCAAGUUUUAAGGGAGCGUGCGAUUGGCAUGCUGACGGCAAGAAUGUCCGCCAGAGCUGUUGCCUGAUAAUUUAAUGUUAAUUUCUACCAUAAGCUGCCUUCGACGUAGUUUUAGAGAAUUUGGCAGUACGUCCAACCAGCCUCAGAACCGCAGACUACGUGUAACCACUGUAGCCCAGGACCUCCAUAACCAGCUUCUUCACCAGCGGGAUUGUCUGAGACCAGCCAGCUGGACAGCUGAUGAAACUGUGGGUUUGCACAACCAAAGAAUUUCUGCACAAACUGUCAAAAACUGUCUCAGGGAAGCUCAUCUGCGUGUUCGGCGUCAUAACCAUCUUCAGUGGGAAAAUGCUCACCUUCAAUUGUCACUGGCACGCUGGAAAAGUGUGCUCUUCAUGGAUUAAUCCCAGUUUCAACUGUCCCGGGCAGAUGGCAGACAGUGUGUAUGGCGUCGAGUGUACGAGAGGUUUGCUGAUGAACAGAGUACCCCAUGGUGGCGGCGGGGUUAUGGUAUGGGCAGGCAUAAACUAUGGAUAAUGAACACAACUGCAUUUUAUCGAUGGCAAUUUGAAUGCAGAGAUACCGUGAUGAGAUCCUGAGGCCCAUUGUCCACUCAUCCAUUCAUCCACCGCCAUCACCUCAUGUUUCAGUAUGAUAAUGCACGGGCCCAUGUCACAUGGAUCUGAACACAAUUCCUGGAAGCUGAAAAUGUCCCAGUUCUUCCAUGGCCUGCAUACUCACCAGACAUGUCAUUAAUUGAGCAUGUUUGGGAUGCUCUGUAUCAACGUGUAUGACAGUGUGUUCCAGUUCCUGCCAAUAUCCAGCAACUGCACACAGCCAUUGAAGAGGAGUGGCACAACAUUCCACAGGUCACAAUUAACAGCCUUAUCAACUCUAUGCGAUGGAGAUGUGUUGCGGUGCUUGAGGCAAAUGGGGGUGACACCAAAUGGGCGGCAGGGUAGCCCAGUGGUUAGAGUGUUGGACUAGUUACCGAAAGGUUGCAAGUUCAAAUCGCCGAGCUGACAAGGUACAAAUCUGUCGUUCUGCCCAUGAACAGGCAGUUAACCCACUGUUCCUAGGCCGUCAUUGAAAAUAAGAAUUUGCCCUUAACUGACUUGCCUAGUUAAAUAAGGGUAAAAAAAGAUACUGACUGGUUUUCUGAUCCAUGCACAUACCUUUUUGUUAAGGUAUCUGUGGCCAACAGAUGCAUAUCUGUAUUUCAAGUUAUGUGAAAUCCAUAGAUUAGGGUCUAAUGAAUUUAUUUCAAUUGACUGAUUUCCUUAUGACCUGUAACUCAGUAGAAUCUUUGAAAUUGUAGCAUGUUGCGUUUAUAUUUUUGUUCCGUGUAUAUUUGGCCUUGUAUUUUAAGUUUUUGUCCUGCUGAAAGGUGAAUUCAUCUCCCAGUGUCUGUUGGAAAGCAGACUGAACCAGGUCUUCCUCUAGGAUUUUGUCUGUGCUUAGCUCCAUUCAGUUCUUUUUUAUCCUGAAAACCUCCCCAGUCCUUAAUGAUGAAAAGCACACCCAUAACAUGAUGCAGUCACCACCAUGCUUGAAAAUAUGGAGAGUGGUACUCAGUGAUGUGUUGUAUUGGAUGUGCCCCAAACAUAACUUUAUGUCCUGAAUACAAAGUGUUAAUUUCUUUGACAUAUUUUUUGUAGUAUUACUUUAGUGCCUUACAAAAGGAUGCAUGUUUUAGAAUAUUUGUAUUCUGUAGAGGCGUCCUUCUUUUCACUCUGUCAUUCAAGUUAGUAUUGUGGAGUAACUACAAUGUUGUUGAUCCAUCCUCAGUUUUCUAUCACAGCCAUUAAACUCUAACUGUUUUAAAGUCACCAUUGGCCACAUGGUGAAAUCCCUGAGCGAUUUCCUUCCUCUCCUGCAACUGAGUUAGGAAGGACACCUGCAUCUUUGUAGUGACUUGGUAUAUUGAUAUGCUAUCCAAAGUGUAAUUAAAAACUUCACCCUGCUCAAAGAGAUAAUCAAUGUCUGCUUUUUUAUUUUACCCAUCUACCAAUAGGUGCCCUUCUUUGCAAGGCAUUGGAAAACCUCUCUGGUCUUUGUGGUUGUAUCUGUGUUUGAAAUUCACUGCUCGACUGAGGGACCUUACAAUUAUCUGUAUGUGUGGGGUACAGAGAUAAGGUAGUCAUUCAAGAAACAUGCUAAACAGUAUUAUUGCACACAGACUGAGUCCAUGCAACUUGGUAAGCACAUUUUUAUUCCUGAACUUAUUUAGGCUGGCCAUAAUAAAGGGGUUGAAUACUUACUGACUCAAGACAUUUCAGCUUCUCAUAAAAAAUUCUACAAACAUAAAUUCACCUUGACAUUAUGGGGUAUUAUUGUGUGUAGGCCAGUGACAUUGAAUCCAUUUUAAAUCCAGGCUGUAACACAACAUGUGUAAAAAGUCCAGGGGUGUGAAGACUUUCUGAAGGCGCUGUAUACAGUGUGUCUAUUUGGAUCUAAGAUCAGAGUUAUACUGCAUCUGGCACGGCCUUCUGUCAAAACAUACUGAUUGGUGAAUGAUUCCAUGGCAGGUAAGAUGUUUCUGUGUAAAACUGAUUUCUGAGUGCUGAUACAGUUCCAUACCACAACUUAUCAGAGUUUAGAUCUGUCACUAUAUGUCUGAUAGAAUAUCCCAAGGAUUUCUAGACCAAUCAUGUCUGGUAGAAUAUCCCAAAGACUUCUAGACCAAUCAUGUCUGGUCGAUUAUCCCAAAGGACUUCUAGACCAAUCAUGUCUGGUAGAAUAUCCCAAAGACUUCUAGACCAAUCAUGUCUGGUAGAAUAUCCCAAAGACUUCUAGACCAAUCAUGUCUGGUAGAAUAUCCCAAAGACUUCUAGACCAAUCAUGUCUGGUAGAUUAUCCCAAAGGACUUCUAGACCAAUCAUGUCUGGUAGAAUAUCCCAAAGACUUCUAGACCAAUCAUGUCUGGUCGAUUAUCCCAAAGGACUUCUAGACCAAUCAUGUCUGGUAGAAUAUCCCAAAGACUUCUAGACCAAUCAUGUCUGGUAGAAUAUCCCAAAGACUUCUAGACCAAUCAUGUCUGGUAGAAUAUCCCAAAGACUUCUAGACCAAUCAUGUCUGGUAGAAUAUCCCAAAGGACUUUAGACCAAUCAUGUCUGGUAGAAUAUCCCAAAGGACUUUAGACCAAUCAUGUCUGGUAGAAUAUCCCAAAGACUUCUAGACCAAUCAUGUCUGGUAGAAUAUCCCAAAGACUUCUAGACCAAUCAUGUCUGGUAGAAUAUCCCAAAGACUUCUAGACCAAUCAUGUCUGGUAGAUUAUCCCAAAGGACUUCUAGACCAAUCAUGUCUGGUAGAAUAUCCCAAAGACUUCUAGACCAAUCAUGUCUUGUCGAUUAUCCCAAAGGACUUCUAGACCAAUCAUGUCUGGUAGAAUAUCCCAAAGACUUCUAGACCAAUCAUGUCUGGUCGAUUAUCCCAAAGGACUUCUAGACCAAUCAUGUCUGGUAGAAUAUCCCAAAGACUUCUAGACCAAUCAUGUCUGGUCGAUUAUCCCAAAGGACUUCUAGACCAAUCAUGUCUGGUAGAAUAUCCCAAAGACUUCUAGACCAAUCAUGUCUGGUAGAAUAUCCCAAAGACUUCUAGACCAAUCAUGUCUGGUAGAAUAUCCCAAAGGACGUUAGACCAAUCAUGUCUGGUAGAAUAUACCAAAGGACUUCUAGACACAAUCGUCAGUCUCAGAGUCACUUCUAUCAGAGACGGGUGGAGCGAAUUGGCUGUUGAAGUGCAUGUCCUGCCCCUCCAUCAGGACAGGUCAGUUCUGGUUCUUAAAGAGUCCAUGAACCCCCUCCCUGUGUCUCACUGCCACAGCACGCCCUAACCUUAACCCAGUCUCUCUCACUGCCACAGCACGCCCUAACCUAGACUCACUGCCACAGCACGCCCUAACCCAGUCUCUCUCACUGCCACAGCACGCCCUAACCCAGUCUCUCUCACUGCCACAGCACGGCAGCCAUGUUGUCUGUUCCCCACCCAUGGUCUCCUCUCCAUUAACAAAAGCUGAAGAACAUACACACAUCCAGGUACUUUCCACAGGUGCUGGAGUUCUAGGUAAACUCAUGGAAAACAGAAAGGAAAACGCCACACUGCUGCUUGUGCUCCCAGAUAUCUAUUCAUAACAAUGUUUCCACCAUUAGGUCCUGGAUACCUGAUGAAGACCUAAGGGUGGAAACGUUAUAAAUAAAUAUCAGCUGGGAGCAUGAGCAGCAGUGUGGCAUUUUCCUUUCUGUUUUCCCAUGGUCUGUAGUUAGUCCACCAAUAACCCAUGGUCUGUAGUUAGUCCACCAAUAAACCAUGGUCUGUAGUUAGUCCACCAAUAACCUAUGGUCUGUAGUUAGUCCACCAAUAACCCAUGGUCUGUAGUUAGUCCACCAAUAACCCAUGGUCUGUAGUUAGUCCACCAAUAACCCAUGGUCUGUAGUUAGUCCACCAAUAACCCAUGGUCUGUAGUUAGUCCACCAAUAACCCAUGGUCUGCAGUUAGUCCACCAUUAACCCAUGGUCUCUUCUCCAUUAAUCCAUGGUGUCUAAUGGUCUGUAGUCCAUUAACACUAUUCUCCUGCUGCUCAAGACGUGUUGUAGUUAGCUGUAUCCUUCCCAAAGUUGUAAUAGUUGUCCAUGUCGUCCAUGUUGGCCGUGGUGAGCUUGGUGAGGUUCUGGGAGCCUCCAUUAUCCAUGUUGUUGUUUGCCCCUGAGGUCUCAAAGUCAAAGUUGUCCUCCUCAUAGUGGCCCUGGCCCUCCAUCCCAGGAAGAGCAUCUGGGAACACACAGAGAAACAGGGCUGUUAGGGAGAGUACAGUGGUUGAACCAACCCAGAACACAGUGGUAGAACCAACCCCAACCCAGAACACAGUGGUAGAACCAAC
ensembl:lncRNA